UAACCAGAGGUGAACGUAAGUAGAGGUAGCACUGUAGUUCUAUUGGAUUUUUAUUUAUACAGAUAUAUCCCCUGUCUUUUAAUGAUAAAAUCAGGUAUCCUGUGCUUCCUUCAGAGAGCUCAAAGCAGCCCACAUAGUUCUUUCUGUUUUUAUACUUGGGACAAUCCUAUAGGUUAGGCUGAGAGAAUGUUGCAACCCAAAGUCACUAAGUCUAAGUGGGAAUCUGAACACAGAUUUCCUUGGAAGCUAAGCAGGUUUUCUAGUGAUGCAGAGGAGGAUUUCAGGCAGCUGGAUCGCCUAUUGCCCUCCCACAAAAGCAGAAGUAAGUUGUGCAAAAUAAGCCGUGAUAACGCUUCAUUUUCAAGUGUCUCACAGAUUUUAGCUUUUCUUGAUGCGGCGUUCAUAUUAACUUGAGCAUGUUGCUUUAAUGUUAAAAAGCAUACAGAGCCCUGUCUAUGAAAGCUCAAACCCUUGUUUCAGCAGGAAGAUGUACAAUAGCACAGUGCUGAGCUGUGCACAGAAAUAGGCUCAGAUUCUAUAACACUGAAGGGUACAGUGGAGCAAAAAUAGUUCAGUUGUGAUUGGAUACCACAAGGAGACUGUAGAUCAAUGUCACAUUGGCAGCUCUAGUCUGCCGCAAGCAGUUGAAAGGAGAGAUAAGGGAACAGGUACAGAUACUUACUGCAGGUCCAGUAUUGCUAGAUGAGCAGUCUCUCCCUGGUCCCACUUGGUGUAACAAUCAAUAAAUAACUAUACAGCAAGAAUCCCACACCUGGUCAAUGCUGCUGCAGAGGUGCAUUUAUCGCAUGUGCUUAUGCCAAUUGUCUUUAGCAUUUUGGAAAAACUGUUUCUCAAGUUAAACGCAUUAAUAGGGACACCCCUUAAAUGUUUUAGCCCCAAAUCCUUAAAAGCUGUUUGUGCAACCGCAUUGGGCCUACCUUUAAAGAAUGACGUGAGGGUGAAGAUGGCCCCAGAUACACACUUUGGCACCAAAUGAUACCCCUUCGCACAUAGUAAAAAUGUCACAGUCAGCUUCAUUGUUGACUAUUUUUGCUCUCUCUGCUCAUGGUCCCCCAAACUGUGCUUACUGAGGUGCUCCCUACCUAAUGGUAAGGGACAGAAGGAUCAAUAGUGCAAUAUAUGCAUAAAGUCUUUUUAAAGACUCAGCAAAAAGUCACACCAGUGUGAAGAUCAAAUGUGAAUAAGGGAUCUUUUGCACAGCUGCUGUGGAACACAGUAGCUAUGGAAAAACCACAGGUGAUAUUCUGGUUCCCAACCUAUCGCCAGAUGGAUGUGGGUAGAGCACUGCAGCUGCUCGAGAGACAAAAUCUGCAUUAUGUUAGCAGUGUUUCUGCCACAGUGUGCAUGCUUCCAUUCACUCUCAGAAACUCUUCCUGUGGUAACCACAUGCCUGAUGGUUGUGUGAAGAGGCCUUGAAACACACCUGCAGGUGUACAUUGCAGCAAGUGUUGGAAUACGUCAGGAAAGCACAUGAAAGCUACCAAAAAAACCUCCAAACUGUGAAUGUUAUGCUUAGUGCUUAAGAACUCAAAGCAGUACCUUGCCAGCAUGGCAGCAUAGGGGUGGUGCUGAUACAUAGGAAAUAAGCUAAGAACCGAGGAAUUUAAUUAUGCAGCAUGUUAAACUGCAAAAUCGGUUGGAGUUUCUCUAGUCUAGUUAUUCAGGGAAAGCUUGGAACAAAACGUCCUUGGUCUUGCUUUUCUUUUUAUGGGACCAAAAGCACUGUCCUUUUCUUUGAGCACAAACUGUGACAUGACUGUUUAUAUUUUUAAUAUAGGAAAACAUUUUUUUUUGUUUUUAAUGUGGGUGACCCCUCCCUUUUCGUUAUAUAAAAAUGUACUUGAAA